GACGAGCUCUCCAAACGUUAUUCGGUAUCACUGGGCUUAAAGAGUUCGUAGGCGGCUUUGUAGGUGGGGUGUGAAAGCCCUCGGCUUAACCGAGGAACUGCGCCCCAAACCACAAGGCUUGAGGGAUAUAGGGGUAAGCGGAACAGAUGGUGGAGCGGUGAAAUGCAUUGAUAUCAUCUGGAACACCGGUGGCGAAGGCGGCUUACUGGAUAUUUUCUGACGCUGAGGAACGAAAGCUAGGGUAGCGAACGGG
rnacentral:rRNA from 1 species